UACAGAGGUCUCAAGCGUUGUUCGGAUUCAUUGGGCGUAAAGGGCGCGUAGGCGGUCAGCACAAGUCAGUUGUGAAAUCUCCGGGCUUAACUCGGAAAGAUCAACUGAUACUGUGCGACUAGAGUGCGGAAGGGGCAACUGGAAUUCUUGGUGUAGCGGUGAAAUGCGUAGAUAUCAAGAGGAACACCUGCGGCGAAGGCGGGUUGCUGGGCCGACACUGACGCUGAGGCGCGAAAGCCAGGGGAGCGAACGGG
rnacentral:rRNA from 1 species